rnacentral:misc_RNA from 1 species
ACUCUGAAGUUCCACCUGUAUUUUAUUUUCCAGGUCCAUUCCCUGAUCCACUCAGAAUGCCUAUGCUUUCUCCUGUGCCGCCUGUCUUCGUUCAUGUACCAGAUACCCAGUUGCAAACUAGAAUAGUGAACCAGAUGGAUUAUUAUUUCAGUAAUGAGAAUUUGAUUAAGGACAUAUUCUUGCGAAAGAACAUGGAUGAACAUGGAUGGGUUCCGGUUACACUAAUAGCGGGCUUCAAUAAAGU